rnacentral:rRNA from 1 species
UGGGGAAUAUUGCACAAUGGGCGCAAGCCUGAUGCAGCCAUGCCGCGUGUAUGAAGAAGGCCUUCGGGUUGUAAAGUACUUUCAGCGGGGAGGAAGGUGUUGUGGUUAAUAACCUCAGCAAUUGACGUUACCCGCAGAAGAAGCACCGGCUAACUCCGUGCCAGCAGCCGCGGUAAUACGGAGGGUGCAAGCGUCAAUCGGAAUUACUGGGCGUAAAGCGCACGCAGGCGGUCUGUCAAGUCGGAUGUGAAAUCCCCGGGCUCAACCUGGGAACUGCAUCCGAAACUGGCAGGCUUGAGUCUUGUAGAGGGGGGUAGAAUUCCAGGUGUAGCGGUGAAAUGCGUAGAGAUCUGGAGGAAUACCGGUGGCGAAGGCGGCCCCCUGGACAAAGACUGACGCUCAGGUGCGAAAGCGUGGGGAGCAAACA